CCUACGGGAGGCAGCAGUGAGGAAUAUUGGUCAAUGGGCGGAAGCCUGAACCAGCCAAGUAGCGUGCGGGAUGAAUGCCCUACGGGUCGUAAACCUCUUUUGCACGGGGAUAACACCUUCCACUUGUGGAGUUCUGUAUGUACCGUGCGAAUAAGGACCGGCUAAUUCCGUGCCAGCAGCCGCGGUAAUACGGAAGGCCCGAGCGUUAUCCGGAUUUAUUGGGCUUAAAGGGAGCGUAGGGGGGUGUUAAAGUCAGUUGUAAAAUUGGGCGGCUCAACCGAGAACAGCAGUUGAAACUGGGAGUCUUGAGUUCACAAGAGGUAGGCGGAAUUCGUGGUGUAGCGGUGAAAUGCAUAGAUAUCACGAGGAACCCCGAUUGCGAAGGCAGUCUGCUGGGGUGCGACUGACGCUGAGGCUCGAAGGUGUGGGUAUCAAACAGGAUGAGAUACCCCAGUAGUC
rnacentral:rRNA from 1 species